UACAGAGGUCUCAAGCGUUGUUCGGAUUCAUUGGGCGUAAAGGGUGCGUAGGCGGCGCGGUAAGUCGGGUGUGAAAACUCCGGGCUCAACCCGGAGACGCCACCCGAUACUGUCGUGACUGGAGUCCGGUAGGGGAGUGGGGAAUUCCUGGUGUAGCGGUGAAAUGCGCAGAUAUCAGGAGGAACACCCGUAGCGAAGGCGGCGCUCUGGGCCGGUACUGACGCUGAGGAGCGAAAGCGUGGGGAGCAAACAGG
rnacentral:rRNA from 1 species